GAUGAAGAACGCAGCGAAAUGCGAUAAGUAAUGUGAAUUGCAGAAUUCAGUGAAUCAUCGAAUCUUUGAACGCAUCUUGCGCUCCUUGGUAUUCCUUGGAGCAUGCCUGUUUGAGUAUCAUGAGCAAAUCUCAAAGUCAAUUCCUUUUGUUAAUUCAAUUGGUUUUGCUUUGGACUUGGAGGUCUUGCAGAUUUUCACAGUCUGCUCCUCUUAAAUGCAUUAGCUGGAUCUCAGUAAUUAUGCUUGGUUCCACUCGGCGUGAUAAGUAUCACUCGCUGAGGACACUGUUAAAAAGGUGGCCAGGAAAUACUGAUUGAACCGCUUCUAACGGUCUAUUAAGUUAGACAAUUACCCUUAAGUUUGAUCUCAAAUCAGGUAGGACUACCCGCUGAACUUAAGCAUAUCAAUAAGCGGAGGA
rnacentral:misc_RNA from 1 species